CAUGCUAGUAGAAAAUAUAACAUUGGUCAAAUGUAAAAAUACCAAACAUUGAUCCAAUCUAGUUAAACUCCUUCAAGCAGGGGUAGAUACACCAGCUUCCUCUGACAGCUGUCUCGGGACAGCGCUUCUGUCACGAACCGAGCCGAGGCCAUCGCCGCGAUGGGUUUCCGAACCACGAAGGCCUGAGAGACCCCUUAGCAUACUAUCAUAAGCAUAAUCUAUACAUAAAUCAAAGUGUGGAAGAGAUAACAAAAUUCAAGUUGAUCCUAUGAUCAAUAUAUGUCAAUAAAGUUAUGUCAAUACAACACUCAAAUUCCGUCUACAAAGCCUCUACUGUCGAGAUGAAGACUAUUGAAAGACUGCGUGAGGAAAUUGGACAGACGAUGAUGCUUAAUGUGAAGAAAGACCCAACAUCUGCAAAGGUACCUGAAACUGGUGGUCCGGUUAAGACAAGCUUUUUCUUUGGAGGCUUACUGGAAAAGUUCCUAACUUAAAAGUUCAUCUGUUGUGAGCUUACCUACUUAUAUAGAAGAAUAAAGCACUUAAUUAUAAGUCAAACGCAUAAAUGUGGCAAGGUUUCCCUGUAAAAAUAUGUGUAGAUACAUUGGACAAUUAUCCUUGCCAGGAUAAACAAAGGGAAAAAGAUGGGAAGAAAAAAGAACCUGCCCCAUUCAGUCUUAUUCUGUGCUGAAGUGUGGAAUUAUCCAAUGACUGUGUGCUGCUCUUGCACAAUAAAAGAUGAAAGUAUGACUUUAGGAUUAAAACUUUGGUCCAGAAAUGCUACUAUUGAAGAUUGAACAAAGAAAGCCAAUACAUUUUAGUGUACUUGAUCUUGAUGUCUAUGUUGUGUAGUAGUAGCAGCCCAAAAAUGAGCUGCUGACAUUGUUGUGAUUUUAACCUUUAGCUCCUUCAGUUUAAUUUUUAGCUGGUUGAGUAUUUUCCCUUCAUUUGUCAGUUAAUUGGCAGUAUGCUUAGGUCAAUGUUUGUAACUUUAAUUUUAAUUAGGCCCUCCUAUGCUAUCUACAUGCUAGUAGAAAGUAAAACAUAGGUCAAAUGUAAAAAUACCAAACAUUGAUCCAAUCUAGUUAAACUCCUUCAAGCAGGGGUAGAUACACCAGCUUCCUCUGACAGCUGUCUCGGGACAGCGCUUCUGUCACGAACCGAGCCGAGGCCAUCGCCGUGAUGGGUAUUCCGAACCACGAAGGCCCCAGAGACCCCUUAGCAUACUAUCAUAAGCAUAAUCUAAACAUAAAUCAAAGUGCGGAAGAGAUAACAAAAUUCAAGUUGAUCCUAUGAUCAAUAUAUGUCAAUAACAACUCCAUUAUCGAUAAUUCAGCAACUCCAUUAACAACAACAACAAAAUCACUAAUCAAUCUUCACCAUUGAAGACAACAUCAAAGAAAGGAGAAACUCCAUUAAGCACAAAAUGAGUAACGAUUCUUCACCAUUGUCAACAACAUCAAAGAUGUGGAAAAAAAAUUCUUUCUUUUUUACAAAAUCAGUUAACUGAUUAAGAAAUCUUUUUUUCAUUUAUUAAUGGAGCUGCUGAUUCAACAACAAUUAACUUUUAAUACUCCCUCCGUCCCAUUUUAUGUGUCAUCAUUUCCUUUUUAGUUCGUCCCAAAAAGAAUGUCAUGUUUCCUUAUUUGGCAAAUAUUUAAAAACACAACUACACUUUUACCCUUAUUGGUCCCACUUAAUUAAAAAAAAAGAUAGAAACACAUUUUUUUAUAAAGGACAAUUUGGUAAAUAUUAUCAAGUCUUCCCUUAUUUCUUAAACUCCGUGCCCGAUCAAAUGGCGACACAUAAAAUGGGACGGAGGGAGUAAUGACCAUGAGUUUGCAUAAACCUUAUCGCUUUGAGAAAGACCCGACAUAAAAUGAAUCGAUAACAUAUAGAAAGCAUAGUUUCUUAGAACCAAACAUAAUGUGAGACAUGGAUUUAUGGAUCAUGAGCAUCAUAACAUAGAGCUUAAAUACUUGUAAGCUUGGAUUGUUAAGAGACAUUAUGUCUUCUAGUUUUGAGGUCGAAACAUGACAUAAGUGUAGGGAGAACUCAAACCUUAAGCAUAGGCAUUGAAGUAGGAGGAGUUUGCUUGAAUAGGAAUAGAUUUAUCAUGACUCUUCCCUAAAACUCGCCACAAUGACAUAAUUUAAGAACUACCUUAAUUCACCAUCUCCCUCUUAGAUCAAAGUCACAUUCCUAGAUUUACGGACAUAUCCUCUCAUCAGAUCUAUAAUCACAACUCUCAACACAAUUGCGGGGGAGGGGUAUCACUAUACAGUUGAACAUCAGACUCGCCCUCGCCCUGCCCUCGCCCUGAUAAACUAUAUAAGAAAAGUACUAACUUCUUGCUAAGACAUUCCUUCCAAGGGCACUACUCUCAACUUCGUCUAGCCUCCAAGCUUGAACUCUAACCUCACUGCCUUUCAACCUUAGUUUGGAAAUAAAGAGUGACCCUUUUGAGAGAAAGCGAAAGUUUUAAGGCUUAAAGACGGGCUAUGAAAAGAUUGGAUGGUUUAUAGGACAUAAAAGGACCAAGAUAACCUUAAUACACUUUAAAAACGAACUCCCGUCGACGAAAGAAGGGAGGUCCUUGGCAUGAAGCCCAAAGUGAACCUCCAGCUCUGCGGCGCGAAGCCCAAUGCAAAGCAGCAUCCGCGAUGCAUAGCCCAGUGCGAAGCUGAGGUAGUGAGCCGUCAUGGCUCCCUUGUGGUGCGAAGCCACUGUAAACUCACCUCUUUGCGACGCACAAUCUAAUUUCCAUGCCCAAACUUUCCCCAAUGCAUUAAAACCUAUCUCAGGACGUCUUAUAUUCAAUCUUGGGAUCACGUAAGCUCGUUUUAAGCACAAUUUAGACUCCACAAACACCCAACUGUUACAAACUCUUUGCUACAACACUAAUCCUCGUAUCCAUAUAUAUAUAUAUAUAUAUAUAUCAAAAAUUUUCACUCAAACUUCUUAUAAGUUGUCAACCUAGGCCCCUUUCACACAUUACAUCAAGCCUACUAAUUCAUUCCCACAAAUCUUGCAUCACAAUUCUUCAGUUAACAUUCUUAUCACCACAAUCCACAUCCAAAGUUCAAGCCUAGUUCCUAGCACCAAUCGUGUACCACCAAUGAGAUGUCCCACAUCAAAUGUGUAUGCAAAAAUUGGAACGAUCUUAUCAAAAACUCGAGUUCAUUGAAAAACACUUCAACAGUGAUGGUAAUCGUCUCCGUCUAACGAUUUGCAAGUUUGGUGUUAACAACCAGAAAGAUCCCAUAAAGAUUUUCGAUGCGUACUUGCUCCCUGAUAAAUAUUUACCGGAUGUGUCCCUACUCAUCAGCUGAUUUACCGUUGCGAUGAUGUUGGUGAUUUUAGAUGUAUUUAUGGUCCAAUUAAUGGCUUAUUCUUAUUAGAGAAAGGACAUUACAUAGAUAACGGUCGAUUUGUCUGAUGGAACCCUGCAACGAAAGAGUGUAGGCUUAUUCCUCGUGCUGUUUUCGAGGUACAAAAAUAUUUCGAAGACAACAAGCGUAGUGUUGGAAUAGGAAUAGACCUAGCGAAUCAUGAUUAUAAAAUCAUAUGGGUACGGUUAUUUUGGGAUGAUUUGCAGAGCGAUGUUUUCCUUAAGGUUUAUGCUGUUGUCUAUUCGACGAAAAAUAACUAAUGGAAGCACUUGGAGCCGAAUUUCUCACAUGAAUGUCAACUAUGUUUAUCCCAAAAUUGUACCUACAAGAAUGGUAUGUACUAUUGGAUUAGUACUAGCAGGAGGUUUUGCAAUAGAGAGAAAAACGUGUAUUUUAUUCGAACAUUUGAUUUUUCAACUGAAUUAUUCGGGCAAUUGGAAGGACCACCAAUUCCAGGUGACCAUUGGACAUCGUUAAUGUUACGAGGUAGUACACUUGCAACUAUGUCUAGUGAUGAUGUUACACAGGAAAUGACGGCUUGUUACGAUAUAUGGGUAAUGAUUCGAGAAAAUAAUUGGAUCAAAGUUUAUACUGUGAAUCCAUCAAUACCAUCACAUUGGCCUGUUGGGAUUUGGGAGUAUGACAAGUUUAUUUUUGAACACACACAAACUUGCAAGUUGGUGUUUUAUGAUCAAACAGCUAAACAACUUACAAGUUUUGGAUUUCAAUUUUUCGAACUAGGUUGUGGCUCCGAUUGGGCUAUGAGUUAUAAGGAGAGCUUAGUUCCGAUAAGUAAAGAAAAACCGACUGAGAAGGACAAUGUUGACCUCUUCUUGAUAAAGUUAUAAACAAGCACGAGCAACGAGUUAAAGUUCGAAAAAAGUCUUUUUUAUGAUUCGAUCAUUUAUAUGAUUGAGCUGUGAAAACUUUUGCAUAGAUACCCUACAUCAGAAUUCUAAGCUGAAUUAUUUUUGGUUGAAGAAUCUCUUUCUAGUUGCUUUGAAAUAAUUAGGAGAUUCUCGAAAUACGCAAUAUCCCGCUUAUGGAAUCAAAUCAAUAUGUUCUCCCGGAGAAAUGUGAGGAUGAUAUUGUAAAUGUAGAGGUCAAAUGUUUGAAUAUGGGUUUUUGUUCCUUAUUUUGCAGUAUUUUUUUUAUUUCUCUGAAAAGAAAAGUUCAAAUUUUUGCGAUCCAAAAAACAUGUUCAUCAGGAAGUAUUGAAAUAUUGAAAACUUCAGAAUCCUUACAAGAACUCUUAGAAAUUGCCAAACAAUUUUAUUACAAAUGGACUAGUCAGCUUCAAGGUGUGUUUGGAUAAAUAGUUGGUGAUAGUUCAAGUAGAAAACACAAACAUUUGAUAGUUCAGGCAGAAACCUCGCAAAAAUGUGAUACUUCAGGUGUGUUUUUGACCAUUAUCUCUUUAAUUAAUGGUGAUUAUAUUGAGGGUCCUACUAAUGAAGAUGCCUCAAUUUCAACCCAAAUUAUAGUUGCAUAAGGCAAUUAGGUUUAUAUCAAUUGCAAAUGAAUUCAACUAAUGAACAACGAGCUUGUUAGGCCAAGUUUUUACUUUUGCCAAGAUAGCUUUUUCAGAAAAUAUUUCCUGAGAGAUGCCGCUUAUGUUUGGCCAAUCAAUUGCUUUUCCUUGUAUUUGUUGAUUCAUUUGUCGUUUUGAUGAAUAACAAACAAAGUUUAUUUGUAAGGAAAUUACGAAGUUGGUCUAGUUAUUAAAUUAAUCAGAAAAAAUUGUUUUGAACAUCUAAAGAACAUAAGAUUCGAAUUGUCAUCACACAUAAAAGUCAUAUUAUUAACUAGGAAAGUUAGGCAGCAGUUGGAAUCAAGGAUCUAUUUAUUCAGCUAAAAGAUACAAUUUAUAAGUGGUGGAAUACUAAACUUAGACCACUACUUAUUACCGCACCUGUUUUUAUACUGUGUCAACUUUGGAAGAAAAGAAAUACCAUUAAACAUGGAGGUAAGUUGUCAAUUCAUGGCAUGAAACUUGAAGUGAAUAGGAAUAUCCAUCUUUUGGUAAGAUAAGGUAUCCUUCAUUUAGAAAUCUGCCUAAUAAUUAGUCUAUGUUGGUCAUGAUUCUGGAAGCUUACAAGCUUAGCAUUCAGGCUACUAUGGUAAACUGGAAACCCCUGAUCAUUGGUGUUAUCAACUGUAAUUCCGAUGGAGCAUCUAGAGGCAAUCCUGACCCUAGUGCUGGUGCUUUCUGUAAUAGAAAUAGUGAAGGUGAAUUCAUUUAUGCCAAUUCUUUCAAUUAUGGUAUAUUAACUAGCUUGGAGGCAGAAGUUUGUGCUUUUAAGAGGGGUUUGGAGUAUUGUGUCACUCUUAUCUUAAAGAAGAUCCUAGAUGGAGUUUGGGAAGUUCCUUGAAAGAUUGCAAUGGAUAUUAGGAGGAUUCUAUGGUAGAUGAAACAAUUUCAGGUGGAAGUGGUGCACACACAAAGGGAAGGAAACAAACUGCCAAAUUUUUUUGCUAACAAAGUUUUCUUGUUUGCAGGAUAUCAAAAUAGAGAAUAUAAAUCACUGCAGGAUAUUAUAGGCGGAGAAAAAAUAAUUGUAACAAUGGACAAGUACCAGAUACACUCAAUAAGGAUUGUCAAAUGCCAGAACAAUAAUUUUUAUAUCUAAAUGGCAACCAAGGUAGACUACAAUUCAGAUGUAAACAUAGAAGAUAAACAUCUACAUCGAUAAACAUCUAUAUCUAUUCCAAUCUAGAUCUAGAACAUAUUAAAAGUGUGAAGACCUUAGAAAAGUGAUUUGAAUUUUUUUGCCCUUCAUUAAAAGAUUCUGUAAUAGAUAAAAUCGUCUUUUCAUAUUUUUCUUCAAUUUAUAUUAUUGAAUAUUGACUACAAUAAAUACAUAAAAAAGUAAAAUGGAAAAGAUUUUCUACUUUAGUUGAAUUCCUAAAUUUAUGGCAAUAUUUUGUUAGAGAGAAUCCAACUUCAAAGAAAUUAUAUUAUAUAAAUAGGUUUUAAUAUUUUUUUUUUUUUAAAUUGACUAUUUUACAUAAAAUAGAUUAUUAAGACUCCUAAAAGAAGAAGAAAGAAAAUUCUUCCAAAAAUAAUUGCAAUGCGUGUAUUCCAAUUAAUAAAGGAUAGUAGACUUCAUAAAUAGAAAGGUACUAUUUUUUUAAGUUAGGAUUAUUAUUCUUUUGUUAUAAUAUUUUAGUUUAGAAGUUCUUGUAUUUCUUUCCUUUUUCCAAUUUUACAAGUCUUUUUUUAGGUUUAUACGUAUACAUUAUUUGGAUAAUAUUACUUUAUUGUGCUCGUAGCUUUGUUAUUGGGUAACUUUGUGAUUUUUCAAUUUUAAAUUUUUAUUUAUAUUACGUUUUGAUUUUAUUACUCAUAAAUAACAAAUCAUCCUUUUAUGUUUGUGAAUAGAUUAGUUAUUGGAUCUCUAAUAUAAUGUUUUAGUUUAAUUUCCAAGUUUCGAAUUUUCUUUUCUACUAUGCUGGUUUUGUUGAUCAAAACAUCUUUUCGUGUUUGUAUAUAUGUAACUUUCAUCAUUGAAUCUACAACGUAACUUUGUUGUUUCUAGGUUUCAAGUAACUUUCGUUAUUAAGUAACUUUGUGGCUUCUAUUCAAAUAAUAAGUUUAUGAAUUUUUGUGUAAAGAUUAGGUUUAAUUAUAUUGUUUUGAUAUCUUUAUUAUCAUAUUAUCUUGUUGUAAUUUACAUGUAGUAGAUAAAUAUCGGUCGGUUUUGAAAAAACUAUUUCAGUAAAAGAUUAGGCUUAAUUGCAUUAUUUUGAUGUCUCUACUUUGAGAAUUUUUUUAUUGUAUAAAGGUUAGAUUUGGUUGUAUUGUUUUGAUGUCACUAUUAUCGUAUUGUUUUAUUGUACUUGACAGGUGGCAGAUGAAUGUCGAUCGACUUUGAGGAAUUCUUUUUGCAAAAGUUAAGUUUAAUUAUAUUAUUUUAAUAUCUCUAUCAUCGUAGUAUUUUAUUGUACUUUAUAUGUGGUAGAUAAUCUAUUUCCAUUGGCUUUGAGAAUUUUUUUUUGGUAUAUGUUAGGUUUAAUCAAACAAAUUCUCCAUCUCUACAUGUUCAAAAAUAUUGAAUUUAAUUAUUAUCUCCUUUUUUAUUAUUUAAACAAAUAUUUUAUUUAGUAUAAUAUUUGAACUCAUUAAAUUGAGAUACACGCGCGAGACGCGUAUAACUAGACUAGUACAUACAAUGGCUCCGAAAUCAAGUCGAGGGACAAUGGAUUAGACAGGCAAUAGCAAAAAAUCGGGUUUUUUUAGUCAUCAACAUAAAAACAUGCAAACAAGUGCAUUUCAGGAUUUCGAUUAAGAUUUGCAUCUUACCUUCUCCGGAGUUAGUAGAAUCAACUGAAUCAGUACUCUUACGCAGUGGUAUCAGUUCCCCGUUGAGCUCAAUCUGUCGAGGGUAUGACUUAGUCGAUUUGGUUGCUAUAGAUGAUAGGUAAUUGAAGGGCAAAGUACGAACAACUCAAUUAGUCAGUCUUGUGCUAAGAAGAGUUGAAUAAGUCUUUCUAUGGCUCGAUUUCAUGGCAUUUGUGACACGUUGGUAAAUGUCCGAAAUGAAGUCCACCAUAACUCAGCUUUCGAACAAUUUUGGCAUUGUUUUCAUAGAUCUGUAGUUAUUUCGCACACACCGUCGGCAAUCAGAGCAGUCUCAGCGUCGCCAUAUCAGAAAAGACGAUGCUCAGUAUCCACAAUAUCUAGAGACUUCCUAGCUCCCUUUCUAUUAUUUUCAGAUUUUAGUAGUUGUCUUUUUGUUUUUUUU
rnacentral:lncRNA from 1 species